GCAACGAUGCGUAGCCGACCUGAGAGGGUGAUCGGCCACACUGGGACUGAGACACGGCCCAGACUCCUACGGGAGGCAGCAGUAGGGAAUCUUCCACAAUGGACGAAAGUCUGAUGGAGCAACGCCGCGUGAGCGAUGAAGGCCUUCGGGUCGUAAAGCUCUGUUGUUAGGGAAGAACAAGUGCGAGAGUAACUGCUCGCACCUUGACGGUACCUAACCAGAAAGCCACGGCUAACUACGUGCCAGCAGCCGCGGUAAUACGUAGGUGGCAAGCGCUGUCCGGAAUUAUUGGGCGUAAAGCGCGCGCAGGUGGUCCUUUAAGUCUGAUGUGAAACGCCCACGGCUCAACCGUGGAGGGUCAUUGGAAACUGGGGACUUGAGUGCAGAAGAGGAAAGUGGAAUUCCAAGUGUAGCGGUAGAAAUGCGUAGAGAUUAGGAAGAACACCAGUGGCGAAGGCGACUCUCUGGACUGUAACUGACGCUGAGGCUACGAAAGCGUGGGAGCAAACGAGGAUUAGACUACCGUGGUUACCG
rnacentral:rRNA from 1 species